rnacentral:rRNA from 1 species
GACGAACGCUGGCGGCGUGCUUAACACAUGCAAGUCGAACGGUGAAGCGCCUUCCUUUUUGGUGGGUGUGGAUGAGUGGCGAACGGGUGAGUAACACGUGAGUAACCUGCCCCCUUCUUCUGGAUAACCGCAUGAAAGUGUGGCUAAUACGGGAUAUUCUGGGUCUGUCGCAUGAUGGGUCUGGGACAGAUAUUGUUUCGGUGGGGGAUGGGCUCGCGGCCUAUCAGCUUGUUGGUGGGGUGAUGGCCUACCAAGGCGGGGACGGGUAGCCGGCCUGAGAGGGUGGACGGUCACACUGGGACUGAGACACGGCCCAGACUCCUACGGGAGGCAGCAGUGGGGAAUAUUGCACAAUGGGCGCAAGCCUGAUGCAGCGACGCCGCGUGAGGGAUGGAGGCCUUCGGGUUGUGAACCUCUUUCGCCAGUGAAGCAGGCCUGCCUCGUUUGUGGGUGGGUUGACGGUAGCUGGAUAAGAAGCGCCGGCUAACUACGUG